rnacentral:rRNA from 1 species
GACGAACGCUGGCGGCGUGCUUAACACAUGCAAGUCGAACGCUAAGGCCAGCCUUCCUGGGUGGAUGGUUGCGGACCGGGUGGUUAACCGUUGAGUAACCUGCCCUCUCCUUUGGGAUAACGCCCGGAAACGGUUGCUAAUCCUGGAUUUUCAUUGAUUCUCGCUUGGGGGUGGUUGGAAGGGUUUUUUCUGGUGGGGGAUGGGCUCGCGGCCUAUCAGCUUGUUGGUGGGGUGAUGGCCUACCAAGGCUUUGACGGGUAGCCGGCCGGAGAGGGUGACCGGUCACAUUGGGACUGGGAUACGGCCCAGACUCCUACGGGAGGCAGCAGUGGGGAAUAUUGCACAAUGGGCGAAAGCCUGAUGCAGCGACGCCGCGUGAGGGAUGGAGGCCUUCGGGUUGUAAACCUCUUUCGCUCAUGGUCAAGCCGCAGCUUUGGGUUGUGGUGAGGGUAGUGGGUAAAGAAGCGCCGGCUAACUACGUG